AUCUCAAAAUUCAUUUCAGCACUACAUUAACAAAGAUGUAAAACAUUAAUAAUAGAGUAAAAUACCAUGGAAAAUCUUCUUCAUAAUAUCUUUACAACAUUUAUUUCUAUGUAUUUGUAAUAAAUUUAAUAAAUAGAAAGUUUAUUAUUUAAUACAUAAAAUUGUUUGCUGCUAUGAAUUCUAGAAAUUACACUUUUCAAAGUAUAUGGAAAUCUGGAUUCUUAUAAACGAAGUAUUAUUAAAUCUUUUUUUUUUUUAAAUCUUAAGAGUGAAUCUAAGCGUGAGGGACAAUUCGAAUUCCGUUUGGAGGCAUCUUUGAGCUCGUGGAGUAGACAUCAUGAGCAAAGCUCACCCUCCCGAGUUGAAGAAAUUUAUGGACAAGAAGUUAUCAUUGAAAUUAAAUGGUGGCAGACAUGUCCAAGGAAUAUUAAGGGGAUUUGAUCUCUUUAUGAAUCUUAUGAUAGAUGAAUGUGUGGAGAUAGCAACUAGUGGGCAACAGAACAAUACUGGAAUGGUGGUAAUACGAGGAAAUAGUACCAUCAUGUUAGAAUCCUUGGAACGAGUUAUGAACAAUAGCUGUCUUCAACAGAGAAAUCAACUGCUUCCACAUGUCCCCUCUCCACAUUUUACUGCGAUGAAAACUGGGUCGUGUACAUUUUCUUACUGAACUUUUUUGUUAAAUAAACUUCAGUAAUA